AAACUGAAGAGUUUGAUCCUGGCUCAGAUUGAACGCUGGCGGCAUGCCUUACACAUGCAAGUCGAACGGCAGCACGGGGGCAACCCUGGUGGCGAGUGGCGAACGGGUGAGUAAUACAUCGGAACAUAUCCAGUAGCGGGGGAUAACCUAUCGAAAGAUGGACUAAUACCGCAUACGAUCUAAGGAUGAAAGCAGGGGACCGCAAGGCCUUGCACUAUUGGAGUGGCCGAUGUCGGAUUAGCUAGUUGGUGAGGUAAAGGCUUACCAAGGCGACGAUCCGUAGCUGGUCUGAGAGGACGAUCAGCCACACUGGAACUGAGACACGGUCCAGACUCCUACGGGAG
rnacentral:rRNA from 1 species